GCCCACGGCCGAGGCUUUGCCUGUGAGCCGAGUCAGGGAGGGAGGGAGGGAGGAGAACACCGUAUGUCCCCCUCACACCCCCCCGUGACUGGGAGCCCUGGAGUCUGGCCUUGGCAUCUCACGCGCCUGGUAGUCUCCGCGGAGAGGAAUCUUAUUUCUAGAGGGGACCUCAGCAGUCUUGUCAGCCCCAACGGAUUUCUGAGAGCAUUCUCUGUUCACAGUUUUCUCCCAGUUUGGCCUUCUGUAUUCGGUCCGCGUCUUCCCAAACGCUGCAGUUGCCCGUCCUGGUUUCUAUGCCAUCAUCAAGUUUUAUUCAGCAAGGGAUGCUCACAGAGCUCAAACGGCACGCCACGAGAAGCAUCUUUUUCAGAAUUCUCCAGUGAAGAAAGUGGUAAAAUAGCUGUGGAAUAUAGACCCUGUGAAGAGAUUACAGAUGCCAGAACCGAAGAGGAGCUACAGGAUUUAAUUCAAGUAUGUGGAGAUUAGAGCUCGAGGGUUCCACAGCCAGUGUAGCCAUAAUUUAAAGCAACCGGCAGGAUUUGGAAGACUUUGGCACGUACAGUUCGCUCUAUCAUCCUUUGGGAAAUGUAAAACUCUGAAACUGCUUUUGAGUGCAGAGAGUUUCUGGGGCUUUUCCUGAAGUCCUGGCCCUUGGCUCUGACCCCUUAUUUAAAAUUUGGAGAGCAAAUUGCAUCAGAAUACUCCCACUGUUGUGGACAUAGGAGAGGACACAGCCUUUUAGAGCUCCCCUCAAACAGAAUCUCAGGGAUUUGGGAACAGAGUAACUCUGACCUUAAGUGAGAUUAUGCUACAGUGUUUGAAAACCAUUAGGCCUUUCAAAUAAGGUGUAUUACCCAGAUGUCAGCAUCUCAUACAUAUCUUGUAUGAAAUAUUUUACUGAAGAACUUUUCUGUAAAUCACUUCUAUCAAUGCCCUGAAUUAGGGAUUAAGUUGCCAAAGUAAUUUCUAAAAGAAGAUAUUAACGUACUGCAUAUAGAAUGUUUAAAAAAAAAAGAGGAGAAAAGAAUGUGUUUCGUGUCAUUGAAAACUGAAUUUGGGGCUGGAUUUCUGAUGAUUGAACUCACUCCAAAGUUGCAAAGUUUGUUUGUUUUGAAGGGAAGAGUGGAGAAAGGAAAGAUGGUUACUUUCUGAAAAAGUAUUUGAAGGUUUUUUUUGUGCAAAAUAGUUAUUUUAAUUCAAUUUAAAUCAAGCCAGUCAAGGGAACUUCAGACUUACCCAAGUUUACACUUUAAGAAGUCUAGCUUUCUGUGAAAUGUGAGAGAAAGAGAUUCUGUAUUGAUGCUAAAGAUUUCAGAAACCUGAUUGUAACAACAGAUCCAUUCCUAAAUAAGGCCAGUCUUGGAAUCAGUUCCGUUUAAAAACCAUUACUAUGUGCUAGACGCUGGGAAUAAGAUAAAACCCUUCUCUCUUACAGUUUGCGUGCUAGAGCUUGUGCCAGACCAUAAACAAGGACUCAAAUAAAACAGAUCGUAAAAAGGGCUGUGAAGGAUGUAAACUGGGUGCUAGUUACACUCUUUCAAGAAAAUUGUUUAGCAUGCUAACUUGAACAUCCUAAGUGCCUUCUCCAUGUGAACAAACAGGGUCAGACCUCUGAAAAGCGGUGUUGUUACUUCUUCUAGACUGACGGCUGUGUUGAGUCAAGGUGGAAUGGGGCA